rnacentral:rRNA from 1 species
CUGGCGGCGUGCCUAAUACAUGCAAGUCGAGCGGACCGGAUCGGAGCUUGCUCUGGUUUGGUCAGCGGCGGACGGGUGAGUAACACGUGGGCAACCUGCCCGCAAGACCGGGAUAACUCCGGGAAACCGGAGCUAAUACCGGAUAACACCGAAGACCGCAUGGUCUUUGGUUGAAAGGCGGCCUUUGGCUGUCACUUGCGGAUGGGCCCGCGGCGCAUUACCUAGUUGGUGAGGUAACGGCUCACCACGGCGACGAUGCGUAGCCGGCCUGAGAGGGUGACCGGCCACACUGGUACUGAGACACGGCCCACACUCCUACGGGAGGCAGCAGUAGGGAAUCUUCCGCAAUGGACGAAAGUCUGACGGAGCGACGCCGCGUGAGCGAAGAAGGCCUUCGGGUCGUAAAGCUCUGUUGUGAGGGACGAAAGAGCGCCGUUUGAACAAGGCGGCGCGCUGACGGUACCUCACGAGGAAGCCCCGGCUAACUACUUGCCAGCAGCCGCGGUAAUACGUAGGGGACGAGCGUUGUCCGGAAUUAUUGUGUGUAAAGCGGGCGCAUGCGGUUCCUUAAGUCUGAUGUGAA